GGGUGCAGGUGGGGAGCGGGCGGGCGGCGCCUCAUGGCGGCCGGUGUCCCGGGGCGGGCAGCUCUAGAGCGCUUCAACAGCCCGAGCGUGCCGCCACCCGCGUCCCGUGAGGAAACCCGCCGGGAGCGCGGCGGCAGCGGCGCUGUCCUGCGCGGGCAGGCACAGAGGUGUGACGGUCACACCGGGCACAAAGCGAGGCCUGCGCGAGGUGCUGCAGUGGUGUCAGCGAAGAGCCUGCCCUCAGGGUGUGAGAGGUCGAUACAUCUGAGACCCUGGGUGAGACCAUUCCACUGAUUCAAGACAAGGUGAUGGAAAUGAACCACCUCUGUGCCAAAGUGCAUAAAGUAGAGGCAUUUGUUAAAAUGGUUGCACACUGUUUUCCUUCCUAGAAGAGCAAAUGCUUGAAGCCGAGAAGAGCCAUGGCACCUUUCUUAAUACUCUUUGCAAAUUACUUCAGUGUGCAACUAUCUCGUCAUUGAAAACUAGACACCCUCUGUCAGCAGCACACCCCUGUGACCUGCCAAAACUACUGAACCGAAGACUUUUUUCCUAUGAACUAUGUAGGUACCACGUCUCAAAAUAAUUUUUGGCUACUAGAAAGUUUCUGGGAAAGACUGCCCGAGUUGCUUCUCACAGUUCAUACUUUAUGGCAUUAGGAAGAAGCAACUGUUACAUUUCAGAUCUUUGGCUAGCAUCUGCAGGGGAAGCUAAAAGUUUCUGAUCAUAUUGUAGCUAUAUAGAGGCUGGAACAUUUAAGAUUCGAUCAUAGUGGUUUGCACUUCAUCAGCUUCUGAAAUCAGUGGAGAGGAUGUGCAAAUCCUCUUUUACCUUCACGUUUUUAUACCUCAGAUGGUCAGAAGGUUGAAGAGUGCUCUGGAAGCAUGCUAAAGCUGUGAUGUGCUAAUAGUGCCAGCUUCACUAUGCACAAAUGAUCAGAUUUUACAAGAGAAGCCCAUGUCAGAAUUUAGAAGUUCAAUAGACAGCACAUGGAUGGCUAAAGCUCCCAGCACUCUACUUCAGACUAGGAACAGGGGGUUAUGAGCUGUUGUGUAAUGUAAGUAAGUUGAAUGGUAUAAAUAAACUGUCUGCAAAGCUGUUAUGGA
rnacentral:lncRNA from 1 species